UACAGAGGGGGCAAGCGUUGUUCGGAAUUACUGGGCGUAAAGGGCGCGUAGGCGGCCUGCUAAGUCGAACGUGAAAUCCCUGGGCUCAACCCAGGAACUGCGUCCGAUACUGGUUGGCUUGAAUCCGGGAGAGGGAUGCAGAAUUCCAGGUGUAGCGGUGAAAUGCGUAGAUAUCGGGAGGAACACCAGUGGCGAAGGCGGCUUCCUGGCCUGUUCUUGACGCUGAGGCGCGAAAGCUAGGGGAGCAAACGGG
rnacentral:rRNA from 1 species